rnacentral:rRNA from 1 species
GAUGAACGCUGGCGGCGUGCCUAAUACAUGCAAGUCGAGCGAACGGACUAGAAGCUUGCUUCUCUGAUGUUAGCGGCGGACGGGUGAGUAACACGUGGAUAACCUACCUAUAAGACUGGGAUAACUUCGGGAAACCGUAGCUAAUACCGGAUAAUAUUUUGAACCGCAUGGUUCAACAGUGAAAGACGGUCUUGCUGUCACUUAUAGAUGGAUCCGCGCUGCAUUAGCUAGUUGGUAAGGUAACGGCUUACCAAGGCAACGAUGCAUAGCCGACCUGAGAGGGUGAUCGGCCACACUGGAACUGAGACACGGUCCAGACUCCUACGGGAGGCAGCAGUAGGGAAUCUUCCGCAAUGGGCGAAAGCCUGACGGAGCAACGCCGCGUGAGGGAUGAAGGUCUUCGGAUCGUAAAACUCUGUUAUUAGGGAAGAACAUAUGUGUAAGUAACUGUGCACAUCUUGACGGUACCUAAUCAGAAAGCCACGGCUAACUACGUG